rnacentral:rRNA from 1 species
CCUACGGGAGGCUGCAGUGAGGAAUAUUGGUCAAUGGCCGGAAGGCUGAACCAGCCAUGCCGCGUGAAGGUCAGUGCCCUAUGGGCGUUAAACCUCUUUUGUGCGGGAGCAAUAAUGGUCACGUGUGGCCAGACGAGAGUACCGUACGAAUAAGCAUCGGCUAAAUCCGUGCCAGCAGCCGCGGUUAUACGGGGGAUGCAAGCGUUAUCCGGAUUUUUUGGGGUUAAAGGGUGCGUAGGCUGGGAGGUAAGUCAGCGGUGAAAUGCCCGCGGUCAACGGGGUGAAGUGCCAUUGAUACUGCCGUGCUGGAAUGCGGAUGCCGUAGGAGGAAUGUGUGGUGUAGCGGUGAAAUGCAUAGAUAUCACGCAGAACACCGAUUGCGAAGGCAUCUCACGAAUCCGCGAUUGACGCUGAUGCACGAAAGCGUGGGUAUCAAACAGGAUUAGAUACCCGUGUAGUC